GAUGAACGCUGGCGGCGUGCCUAAUACAUGCAAGUCGAGCGAACAGACGAGGAGCUUGCUCCUCUGACGUUAGCGGCGGACAGGUGAGUAACACGUGGAUAACCUACCUAUAAGACUGGGAUAACUUCGGGAAACCGGAGCUAAUACCGGAUAAUAUAUUGAACCGCAUGGUUCAAUAGUGAAAGACGGUUUUGCUGUCACUUAUAGAUGGAUCCGCGCCGCAUUAGCUAGUUGGUAAGGUAACGGCUUACCAAGGCAACGAUGCGUAGCCGACCUGAGAGGGUGAUCGGCCACACUGGAACUGAGACACGGUCCAGACUCCUACGGGAGGCAGCAGUAGGGAAUCUUCCGCAAUGGGCGAAAGCCUGACGGAGCAACGCCGCGUGAGUGAUGAAGGUCUUCGGAUCGUAAAACUCUGUUAUUAGGGAAGAACAAAUGUGUAAGUAACUAUGCACGUCUUGACGGUACCUAAUCAGAAAGCCACGGCUAACUACAUG
rnacentral:rRNA from 1 species